GUGUGCUUGAUGCUACCGCUACAAAGAAGGUAAUAAAAGAAUAUUCGCUGCUUCUAUUGUCUUGCAAGUUAAGGAAGGGUCUGAUGUUGUGCGGGCAUGCAUGGUGUGUGCUCUGUGUGUGUUAUUUGUGCGAGAUGUGAGCUCUGUGAUGCUCUAAAUAGGAGAAUUUGUGUUUAUUGAGAUACCAUAGAUGGGUGCCAUUAGUCUCCCAUUUUUAUUUGGGCUUAUCAAAGUACACCAGGGAGAGCUAUUAUGUACGGAAGUUCAUGUAUUGAUGCCCCCCGGAGUCCAUGUAGCUCUCCUGUCGUGCUGCCCUCAUCGGCCUCGGCUAUGGACGUCAGUCCAAUCCCGUCGCCCCAGGCCGUUCACUGUCGCAGUGACCAGGGCGUUCAUAGAAAAUGUUGAUUAUAUUGAUAAUUAAAACUAGUCUUUGCUCACUUUUGAAUUGAAAAAGAAAAGGAGUCUCUGUAAUAAUAAGUUCAUAGAAAAAACAUAAACAAAAUAAACAAAAAACAUGAAACACAAAAAAUCCAUGAAAUAUACCGGGAAAACAUAGUAAGUUCUAAGUAAAUAAAUAUAGAAGUUCAUAUUUUGAAACGAAUGAAGUAUUUGGGAACUAAAAUGAAGUAUUUCAAAGUACAGAACUCCUGUUUAGGUUUCUUUGUGUACUUCUAAUGUUACUAUGCAUGAUCUUGUCGUUAUUUUUACAUGUUUUACAUGAUUAUGGUUAUUUCGACCUUGACAAAUUUCAUUUCAUCUUGUAUCCUUUUUUUCCGCUCAUCUUAUAGGUCAAAGGAGCUCCCUUCAGUUCAAUGGAUUCAAGAAAAUAAUCGCUGCCACUACAUCCUGAGUUCAAGGGAUUCCUUAGGGGCCUUCUACACCGUCUUGCUAAUGUUGCCAUUGCUGGACGCCACAACCAUGCUCGUCGUUCUUAUGCUGCCAUUCACAUACUGCUCCCUGCUUCACUCCACUGAGAUCCAUAGGAAUAAGUUAUAUUCAGUUCGCCACUUUUACAAUUGAUGCUCCUAUGUUAACAAAAACAAUAGUUCAAGCUCCUAAAAAAGCAAUUAUAUGUAUGCUGCAUCACUUUGGGGAACUACAGCAAACAAAAUGAGGAGAGCUUGGUAGUACUUGAUUUUUUAUAGUACUACUUGAACCCUUUCUGUUGAAUAUAUUGGAUCCUAUUUAUUGC
rnacentral:lncRNA from 1 species